UACAGAGGUCUCAAGCGUUGUUCGGAUUCAUUGGGCGUAAAGGGUGCGUAGGCGGCGCGGUAAGUCGGGUGUGAAAUUUCGAGGCUUAACUUCGAAACUGCAUUCGAUACUGCCGUGCUAGAGGACUGGAGAGGAGACUGGAAUUUACGGUGUAGCGGUGAAAUGCGUAGAUAUCGUAAGGAAGACCAGUGGCGAAGGCGGGUCUCUGGACAGUUCCUGACGCUGAGGCGCGAAAGCGUGGGGAGCAAACAGG
rnacentral:rRNA from 1 species